GCGAGGCCUAUACGCCUGGUGUGCGGCAGUAGAGCUGGAAAUCAUGGCAGUGCGGCGAAUAUCAGGUUGCUUCGCGACAUUGCCUAAUUUCAAAGGUCUGGGCGGUCGUUUAGCAGAUGGAAAUUUCCCACUGGGCACAACACGGGGCUGAGGGACGUUGGGAGCUUUUGUUUCAACUAUUGAUUUCGGCGAAUGUGGUUCAUCCACUUCUUCUGGGUGUUCCUCACGCUCCGCGAGAGGGUUGUCGUCCAGUAUUGAGAGCGCCGGCUUUGUAACGAGUUUGCCAGCUCUCAGUGUAUAAGAUGCGAGGGGUCGAUUGAAGAGCUCGUCAUCGCUAAACAGAUCCUCCUGUGGCUCUGGCCAUUCGUCAUCACUAACAUGUUCAAAGCCAGCAAAUAAACUGCUGGUCCUGAACGGCCGUCGAAGUUCCAAUUUCGUAUCCUCAGAAAGGGGACCAUUAUCAUUAUUUCCUGGAUAUGCUUGCAACUUUUCGGGUUCUUUAUCUUUUGAGGAAGGCCGUGUGAGCGGCGCAGGCUCAACUGAGGGAGGGUUUCGAAGUCUCCUUUUUGCAGAUUUCGGGGGCACGUGAAAUUCUUGGAUGGGUGGUGGUGAAGGUAGAUCAAUGGAUUCUGGACUCAUUGGCUGGUCUAUAAUCGCGGAUGGGAGGAGUUUUGCGGGUAGCUUUGCGCUACGUUUAUCAACGCGAAUCUCUUCUGUUUGCAUGCCACAUGACCGGACGUCGGCGAGUGGUUUGAUAUAUGUCUGGCAUGAUACAUUCUUGGUUUGUGGGGGCAAUACAACGCUGUUCCUGGCGGAUGGGGGGUUUGAGCCGGGGGGUUCGAUUGUGAUCAUGGGGAUUGGCAUUGCCUGUCGGAUUAUUUGUUCUAGGUUUUGGGGGUUUUUUUCCUUGAUAAUUACAUCGUCGGUUUGAGUUGAGAUGGAAGCCGUUGCUACCAAUGGAAUUUCAGUCACGGGAGCUGGAGAAGCUAUGGGUGUGGACUCCUCUGAUGGAAUUUCUUCAACUGUUGGGGUUGAAGGAGGGCUUGGAGGCUCUCCGGUUGUCUGGCAUGCAGAAGAGGUGGUGAGGACAGGCGCAGUGACGGUGCUACUGUCCUUCGAUUCGUAUACGGGCAUUGGUUCUGUACUGGAGGACAUUUGAUUUUUCUCUUGAUUUUCAUUGCUCGCGCCAUUCACCAGAGGAGCCUCAUCGACAACGACUUGAUCGGGUUCCGGUACAACCUUAGGGGAUGGAGGUGGAGUAUAUUGGAUUCCGAUGUCCCUAUAUUCCAAUUGUGGUACAUCGGUGGUCCUCUUUUCAUUUUGUUCGACAUCCGGAAUCACAUUCAGAUUUUUUGGAUGAUCAAGCACAUCGGGAGUGCCGAACCUUUCAUGCCCGUCAAGUGGCAUAUCGAACGUACGCCGGGCCAUCCUGCUGCUCAUCCGUCGCGAUUGCAUUGAUAUGGGCCUUUCGUGGUCAGGAACCGUGCAUCUCGAAUCAGGUCGGUCAUCUAGACCCAAUGUGUCUUCCUCUUCCUCGUCAAAUGCGAGUUCGUCUGCUAGGUUCAAGCCGUCCACCUUGUGUCCAUGACCAUUUGCAAAACUCAUGACGGAGUACCUUACAUUAUGCAGAUCGCCGUCAUGGGUACUUACGCUUGCAGUACUCGUACGUCGCCGUCCCAUGGCACUGCCCGAGCGGAUGCUGUUGGUGUCACUACCCUUUGCCGUCAUGCCAUCACGAACAGAAUCAUCAAAGUCUCCAUCAACACCACGAGGAAAUGAACCCGCUGCCUGAGCUGCUGCAACCUCGUUGAGAACAACUUUCAGACGUCCCUCGACGACAUGGACUUUCCGUUCCCAGUUCCUUCGCUCUUCCUCCCAAUUCUGCUUAUCCCGCUCCCACAGCCUUUGGGUCCGUUCAAUUUCUUCUUCCUGGGUACGCGCUCUUUUCUGUGACUGAUCAAGUCUUUUGCGGAAAUCCGCAAUGUUUUCUAAAGCAUCAUCGCGCUCCUUGGACAAUUCUGUCAUAGCAGACAUGGAACCGCCCUCAAGAAGCUGUAUCUGCUUUUUCAAUGAACGGUUCUCCUUGGAGCUCCUUGCGAGCGUCUCGCUCAAAGACUCCGCUUCCGACUUUGCCGUUUCCAGGGUCAUCUCAAGAGAAUCAAUUGCCUUCGCUUUCGCCUCCAUGUCGCGGCGCAGGGACAAGAUCUCGGAAACGAGAGAGGCAUGUAAGGUUGGGGUGAACCGUCGAGGAUCUAGGGGAGAAAUUGUCUCGUCAUUUGCGGCGUCAAUUGGGCUGACAGGGCCAUCGGAUUCGUACCGGUUGUCGGAGUUGAAGCGCGGAGGGGAGGAGGAGGGUCCUGGAGACGAAUCUCUACGGUGGAGCGAUGGGCGGCGCGACAUUGGGUUUGAGGGGGUCCGGUAGGGCUUCUUGUCCUUACCCGUGGGUAGGGACGUUCCCAGGUAUGUAUAGUCAUUUUCAAAGUCGGAAGGCAUUGUGGAUAUAUGAAGGUGAAUGGGUAGCGAUGGGUAUGGGUGUAUCCUUCAGUUCCAGUUACUGCUGUCAUACGUGCAUGACUAUAUGAAGAACUCGUUGCGAUAAACAAACGAAAAGACAACAGCCGCCAAUACGAGAUUGGGUGUGAUAGACGCCAGGAGGAGGGAAUUACAAAAAUAAACAAACAAUUUGAUGCCCUCGUUGCCCAGGGUUUAGUGAGGGGGGUGGGAUUGAAUGAGUUGAGUUAAGGUUGGGCAAUUUCGUAAUAUCAAGGAAGUGUUUCAGUUUGUUCUGUCCAAGGCUCAACGGUCGGUGGGGGAUUGAGGAAUCGAGGUAGGUUGGUAGUGGGUAGGUAAAUUCCCCGUCUCACUCAUAUAUUUGUUUUCGUAUUUAUUUAUAGCAUUUGCACGUCAACGGUAAGUCAUGUGCAUAAAAUCAAUCUAUACUGCAACAACGGCCAGAGCUGGUUGGUGGUGGUGAAGGGGGAAUUUAUCCUUUCAGAAAAGAAAUUCCAGGGGCGGAAAAAGGAGAACGAACGAACGAACAAACUUCCGACGAAAUUCAAGGAGCCCGAUGUGGAGUGUUAUAUCUAUGCAGGUAGGAAAUUUGUCUCUAGAAAUUCUCGUGGAAGGAUUGUCAGGUAUGUUGUGUUGUUCGCACGGGAAUAGAAUGCUCGUCUCUCAAGGUCUCUUCACUACCUGAAGCUAUGCAUGACGUUAGCCGCUAGCCUGGCAAGGAAAUUUCACAGUAAAGGACCCACUGCACUGCAUUCAUCGAUGUAACUAUCGGAUGUCUCUAUGUAAGCAGGAGAAACUGGGUGGUGAAGGAGGCUCGGCCCGGCAAGGUAUGUGCUGAAUUGUAUAUAGGUCAAGGUCCAGCCAUUGAGGUAUGUAUAGACAAUGUCGAGUAUUUGAUCUAUUUAUCAAACAGAUAAACGUCAAUUGAGAAGUAGGAGUAGGAGUAAUGGUUGUGGUGGUGCGUGGCCGCCGCGAGGUGCAAAUCAGGCGUGUGGGAAGCUACAUCAGGAUGUGUCGUCGCGAAAGGGGCCGGGUGAGUGAGUAAUGAGUAAACCGGAGGACGCAGAAGCAUAAAUGACCUUCCUGUCUUCGUCAGGUCAGGUCCUUCUAUUUCUCAUUUCCUCUCCAAGAACAAAAAACGAACGUGAGCAGUAGUGGUAGCUGCGGAGUGGUGGUGGCAGAGGAAAAGGGACGAAAUGGAAGCUCUGUCAGGUGGAGGACGGUAGCUUCGUGGAGUACGGCUCGAUAGAAGAGUGGGUGUCUGAGAUGUAGAUGGCGAAGGGGAAAAGAGAGAAGAAAGAGCGAGAAAAGGAGCAGCAGUUAGUGAAUCUCGCUGUCACCAUCAAAAAGAGAUAGAAGAGAUAAGACGAGUGUGGUAUGUGGUAUUGAGUAUUCAGCCCGUCCGGGAACGAGAGUUGCUCCCACGCCGCAAAGAACUCAGCGACGGACGGCGACGGUGACAUGCCAUGCCAUGGCUGUCGCGAGCGAGUGACGGCGGCAGCAGCAAGCCCUGGUGCAGGAUGAGAUCGGGCGUGCAUAAGGAGCACGACUAGCCUGGCUGGCCUGGCCUGGCCGGGGGCGGGAAUAGGGG
rnacentral:sRNA from 1 species